AGAAUGAACGCUAGCGAUAUGCUUAGCACAUGCAAGUUGAACGUUGUUUUCGAAUAAAAAUGAAAACAAAGUGGCGAACGGGUGCGUAACACGUAGGAAUCUGCCAAACAGUUUGGGCCAAAUCCUGAAUGAAUAAAAGCUAAAAAGCGCUGUUUGAUGAGCCCACGUAGUAUUAGGUAGUUGGUUAGGUAAAAGCUGACCAAGCCUACGAUGCUUAGCUGGUCUUUUCGGAUGAUCAGCCACACUGGGACUGAGACACGGCCCAGACUCCUACGGGAGGCAGCAGUGGGGAAUCUUGGACAAUGGGCGAAAGCCUGAUCCAGCAAUGCCGCGUGUGUGAAGAAGGUCUUCGGAUUGUAAAGCACUUUCGGCGGGGACGAUGAUGACGGUACCCGCAGAAGAAGCCCCGGCUAACUUCGUGCCAGCAGCCGC
rnacentral:rRNA from 1 species